rnacentral:rRNA from 1 species
AUUGAACGCUGGCGGCAGGCCUAACACAUGCAAGUCGAGCGAGCGGCGGACGGGUGAGUAAUGUAUGGGGACUGCCCGAUAGAGGGGGAUAACUACUGGAAACGGUAGAUAAUUACGCAUACUAUCGGCUAACCUAUAUGGGAUUAGCUGGUCGGUGAGGUAAUGGCUCACCUAGGCGACAAUACCUACCAGGUCUGAGAGGCUGAUCCGCCCCACUGGGACUGAGACACGGCCCAAACUCCUACGGAGGCAGCAGUAGGGAAUAUUGCACAAUGGGCGAAAGCCUGAUGGAGCCAUGCCGCGUGUAUGAAGAAGGCUCUAGGGUUGUAAAGUACUUUCAGUCGGGAAGCGGUAACGAAAGAGGAAGCACCGGCUAACUCCGUGCCAGCAGCCGCGGUAAUAC